rnacentral:tRNA from 1 species
GCCGAGAUGGUGAAAUUGGUAUACACAUUAGUUUCAGAAGCUAAUAUAGAGUAUUUUCUAUUUGGAGGUUCGAAUCCUCCUCUCGGCA